rnacentral:rRNA from 1 species
ACAUGCCUACAACAUACCAUUAAUGCACUAGAUCCCAUUAGAACUUUGCAAUUAAGCAUUCUUGAUCUAGAGUAGUACAAGGAUGGGUUACCACCGAGGAAGUCCUAGUGUUUUACAUGCC